rnacentral:rRNA from 1 species
AUACGGAGGGAGCGAGCGUUAAUCGGAAUUACUGGGCGUAAAGCGCGUGUAGGCGGCUUGGCAAGUCGGGUGUGAAAGCCCGGGGCUCAACCCCGGAAUUGCAUUCGAAACUGCCAGGCUAGAGUCUCGGAGAGGAGGGCGGAAUUCCCGGUGUAGAGGUGAAAUUCGUAGAUAUCGGGAGGAACACCAGUGGCGAAGGCGGCCCUCUGGACGAUGACUGACGCUGAGACGCGAAAGCGUGGGGAGCAAACAGGAUUAGAAACCCCAGUAGUCC